rnacentral:tRNA from 1 species
GGAGAUAUAGCUCAGCUGGGAUGAGCGUUCGCCUCACACGCGAGAGGUCGCGGGUUCGAGCCCCGCUGUCUCCA